rnacentral:rRNA from 1 species
UGGGGAAUAUUGGGCAAUGGGCGCAAGCCUGACCCAGCAACGCCGCGUGAAGGAAGAAGGCUUUCAGGUUGUAAACUUCUUUUCUCAGGGACGAAGAAAGUGACGGUACCUGAGGAAUAAGCCACGGCUAACUACGUGCC